GGCCGCCUGGCGAAAUGGCAUCGCGUCUGACUACGAUGAAAGUUUGAUCAGGAGAUUGCAGGUUCGACCCCUGCGGUGGUCA